GACGAACGCUGGCGGCGUGCUUAACACAUGCAAGUCGAACGGUGACCCUCGGAGCUUGCUUCGGGGUGAGCAGUGGCGAACGGGUGAGUAACACGUGAGUAACCUGCCCCUGACUCUGGAAUAAGCGCUGGAAACGGCGUCUAAUACCGGAUACGACACGCCUCCGCAUGGGGAGCGUGUGGAGAGUUUUUCGGUCUGGGAUGGACUCGCGGCCUAUCAGCUUGUUGGUGAGGUAAUGGCUCACCAAGGCGAUGAGGGGUAGCCGGCCUGAGAGGGCGACCGGCCACACUGGGACUGAGACACGGCCCAGACUCCUACGGGAGGCAGCAGUGGGGAAUAUUGCACAAUGGGCGAAAGCCUGAUGCAGCGACGCCGCGUGAGGGAUGACGGCCUUCGGGUUGUAAACCUCUUUCAGCAGGGAAGAAGCGAAAGUGACGGUACCUGCAGAAGAAGCACCGGCUAACUACGUGCCAGCCGCCGCGGUAA
rnacentral:rRNA from 1 species